UCUUCCUUUUUUCCUCCUCUUAUAGCUUCACCCGCCCCUCCCCUGUUUUUGCUUCACGUGCGAGUGGGAGGAUUCGAAUGCAGAAGGAAGCGGGAUGUGGUUGGGAGGUGAAUGAUUCUGCCCCUUGAUCCUUGGACGCGGUGAUUUCGUUGUUGGCUCUGAUCCUGACGCUGGGAAGCUGGGGAUUCGGUUGAGAUGCAAUCCAUGGAGAUGAAGCCAAUCCGAACGGCAUGAGGGCUGAUUGCUUGAUCUGCGGUGUGGAGGAAUUGCAUCAUGGGAGGAAAUCAAAUCUGGAGCAAGAAAUAAGGGCUGAAUGAUCUUUGCAAUAGUUCGAAUUUUGAAACUGAUCCGUUGGUGGUUGAAGAUCAUUGCGGAGGGGAAGAAUCCAAAAAUAGGGGAUACGCUGGGAGGAUGCGGAGGGCUUUCUGGGCGCGGUGAAUCCGUGGAGAGGAGCGGAAUGGUUGGGAUUCUGGGAUUAGAGCUUAGCCGGGUUGCACUCGGGCGUGGAAGAAGAUCGUGGGAUGCUAGAUUGGUUUGAGUCAAUGCCGGGAUGCGUGGGAGAAAUUCGGAAGGAGAGAAUCAUGGACGAUCAAGGAUUGGAUAUGGCUGGGAAGGAGAUGAACUUUGCUUUGAAGCAAAGGAAAAACGUGUGGAUUUGAGCUUGGGGGAUUUGCUGGAUAUUGAGCUUUGAAUCGCGGAAAUGGGGGAAGGAGAUGGCAUGGGCUAUGGAGCUCCAUGGGUC
rnacentral:lncRNA from 1 species